UACAGAGGUCCCAAGCGUUGUUCGGAUUCACUGGGCGUAAAGGGUGCGUAGGUGGCGAGGUAAGUCGGAUGUGAAAGCUCGGAGCUCAACUCCGAAAUGGCAUUGGAAACUACCUUGCUCGAGGGUUGGAGGGGGGACUGGAAUACUUGGUGUAGCAGUGAAAUGCGUAGAUAUCUGGAGGAACACCGGUGGCGAAGGCGGCAUCCUGGACCGGUAUUGACGCUGAGGCGCGAAAGCCAGGGGAGCAAACGGG
rnacentral:rRNA from 1 species